rnacentral:sRNA from 1 species
AUAUGAAAUCCACACAUUCAGAUCAUUUAGGAGCAGCUGUGGUAAAUCGACAGCUCGCGGCCCACCCUGCGUAGAACUGUAUCUGCUCCUCACAACUUCCCCGAGGAGCUUAUAAUUAGCAUGUUUAUUGUAGUUCUUCCAAGAGUCGAUGUUACACGUAUGUGUCGUAGCAUACGAAGUGAUUUUGAAACUUUCUGAAUCCUUCACGACGCGAGCAGUCAAUUGCCAUGGACAAGUCUCAUCAACGCACACCAUCUUCAAUGUUUUAGGACAUGACUUAGGUUGCUUGAAGCAAAAGCAUUGCUUUAUCGCUUGAAGAGACAUUGUUUGUUGCAGGACUUUUCUAUUCUUAAAAACACAUCCAACAAACAAAGUUUCGCCUGUGGUGCUGAUUUCAACCUGUGUCUCAUCAGCUCGAAAAUUGAGUAAGUCAUCGAACACAGGAGCAGCAUCGUUACCGAGAUUCGCCAACUCGCCACCAUGUAACUUAGGAAAUUCAUUAUACACUUGGUAAGCCUCAGCUGCGGUAACUACCCCAUUAUCAUUCUGUGUCCCAGUUGAGGAAGCUCCAAUACCGUCGAUCACUUCAUCCCCGGUGACUUCGUCUAUACAAAUAAGAUUGGAAUCCCUUUGCCCUUCGCAGCGUGUACCGUAACCCAAUGGAGAAAUUGUUUCUUCGCCAGGUACACUAAGACCAGUGUACGUACACGUUUCCAAGAGACGACUGAAUUCCCCUGUAUCUCCGCCAGGUACACUAACACCCGUGUACGUACACGUUUCCAAUAAACGACUGAAUUCCCCUGGAUGUUGAGCAGUCUGUUGAGUGAGACUGACGUCUUCCUCAAGAUUUCCUUGUACAUAUUCUUCUACUAUUACAUCGUUCCACUUGUUGUAAUCGUAUUCUUCGCCAAUACCUUCACUACCGUCUGUGGUAGGAUACAAGGUACUUCCCCCAAUAGAUCCAUCCACACCAAGAUAAUCAUCACACCCAUCAUCAUCUUCGUUGCCCUCCUCCACUUCAUCCUCUUCUGUUGUAUCGUCUUCAACAUCGGCUUGCUCCUCUGCAUCCUCAUUAUUUUCAUCAAUAUUUGUAGCACUAUCAAACACACGGUCACUUUCAGAAACUUCACCAUGAGACCUAGAGACAGUAUUCCCGAACGCCUUCACUGUAUUAUUGAAAAAGACGAACAAGUUGAGAGAAAGAUACCCACCACGAACCAAAAAAAACGUUUCGAGACCCAUCUGACUGUCAAUGUAUACAGGAGGGCGUUUAGUAUCUAUCAGCACUGACAUUUCUCCCGGCAUCCAGUAGCUAAUUAUGGGAUUGAUCUCGGUGGACUUCAAACUGAAAGCCUCUCGGAGUGUACGGACAAAGUCCGUGUACGUCAUGGUUUCCUGAACGCGUACACAACGACCAAAGAUGCCUUCCUCAGGUUCAAAUUUCCAUUCUCCUUCUUUGCAUUUCCACUCACCGACCAUAGUAAAUACGGGAAUAUCCAUAACCCACCUGCAUCAUAAAUUCAGGAGACACACAUUAAAUGCAACUGAAAAAUACUAUACAUAUAAAAAACAAAUGGAAUGUCGAUACUACACAUUUAUAAACCUAAAUACCAAUUAUCAUUUGACUAUUUCAAACAAACAAAUAUAGAUUUUGCAAAUUUUCUGAUAAAAAAAUGGAGUUCGAACACAAUCAAGAUCCUAAUAUGACAUAACAAAAAACUUCUUAAAAGAACUUCAUUACUUACACGAGCAAUGCUUGUUUUGGCUCCAAACUUGGUACAAAAACAAGAUCAACACUUCUUCAGCAGCAAUGUACGUUCUCAAUAAUUCUUUGUUCCUGGGUUCAUCUUCUUUAUCUCAACAAUUUUUUUAUUAAUUAUUAUC